rnacentral:rRNA from 1 species
CCUACGGGCGGCAGCAGUGAGGAAUAUUGGUCAAUGGCCGGGAGGCUGAACCAGCCAAGUCGCGUGAGGGAAGACGGCCCUACGGGUUGUAAACCUCUUUUGUCAGGGAGCAAGGUGCAGGUCGGGACCUGCUGUGAGAGUACCUGAAGAAAAAGCAUCGGCUAAAUCCGUGCCAGCAGCCGCGGUAAUACGGAGGGUGCGAGCGUUAUCCGGUUUUAUUGGGGUUAAGGGGUGAGCAGGCGGGGGCACAAGGCAUCGGUAAAAUCACGGGGUCCAACCCCGCUCCGCGGUUGAAACUGUGUCCCUUGAGUGCGCGAAGGGUAGGCGGAAUGCGUGGUGUAGCGGUGAAAUGCAUAGAUAUCACGCAGAACUCCGAUCGCGAAGGCAGCCGACCGGCGCGCAACUGACGCUCAUGCACGAAAGCGUGGGUAUCGAACAGGAUUAGAUACCCUGGUAGUC